CACAUUUCCAAUAAAAACGUCUGACCCAGGCUGCCUUUGUUCCUUUGGUAAAGCUGCAAAGCAGGCGCUGUUACUUCCACUUUACAAGUGGGGAAACCAAGCCUCGUUGAGUGGGAAGCACCUGGGUUCAGCGCACAAGGCUAGAUGGUGGUGGAGGUGUAUCUUGGAUCCUGGAAGGCCACCUUCAGAGCUCCCAGCCAUGGCCAGCCUGGCCCAGGGGGUGGUAUGGGGUGGCCUAAUGGGGAGGGGUCAGAGGAGUAGCAGCAGAGCCCCAGAGAAGAUGCGUUGGGUUUUGGCCAGGAGCAGUUGGGGGGGCUGGGCGCUCAGGUGAUCGUGAGUGGUUGCUAUGGCAGGGGCUGUAGGUUGUAUCUGGAGACAGGCCACAGUGACCCUCCCAGGAGUGGUGAUGGACAGGCUCAGUGACAAGCUUGGGGGUCCUGAGACCAUGCAGUGAGCAGGAGGUGGGCUUGCAUCAAAGGGAGAAGUCGUCAGGGAGCACUGGCCAUGGUCAAGUGGGCACAGGUGGACUUCUGUUGGGGAGGGGGGCAGAACCAGAGGAGAGGGGAGGUGGGGGUCCUGGAAGGCCCCAGGAUCAGGAGCCCAAGGUUUGUCCAGUGGCUGCUGCCACCCCUGGUGCCCACCCUGUCUCCUUCACAAGCUGGAGUCAGGCCCUCAGUUGCUAUAACAACUGGAUCUCAGCAGUAAAAAUAGUAACUUAUUUCUUAUUCAACUUGUUUUGUUCUUGGAGAAAAAGAAAAUCCAUUUCUAGGUUUGUUUCCCUUCAGGGGUCUCCUCUGGGGCCCUACUGAGCCUGUGGCCAAGACAAGCUGAAGGUCUUCGAGGGCUGGCUGGGGGCCGGGAGGAGGCCUGCGAGCCAGCAGCCUGGGGAGGUCUGCUCCCACACCUGUGGCUUCCCUCAGCCUCUGGGCAGCUGUGGUCAACAAUUGAUGCCUCAGGCCUGCCCUGGACUUCCCCAGAAGGGGCCUCAGGGAGAUCAGGCCUCUGAUCUCUUUCACUUUUAGAAAGCCAGCAGGGACCUUUUUGGGAAUUAAAGUUGAGGGCUGAGGAGGAGGUAUGGCUGGCACCUGGGGACAGUGUGUCCUAGUGGGGCUGAUGAUAAGGCUUAGGGACGGGGUCACAACAAUGGUGAUGGAGAUCAAGGUCUGAGAAGAGGCCAUGAAAUGCGUGUUUGGAGUUCAGAGCCUGGGAAGCUGGGCUUCAGGGCAGCUCCUCUGGUUGUGUGACCUUGGGACAGUCCCCUGUUCCCUGUAGCCAUGAGCCUCACCCGCUCUUAACCAUGACCCCUGGCAAAAAGACAUUUUCUAUCCUGACUAGCACACAAAAUGUAUAUAAGACAACUGAAACAAAAGUUUCUUGAACAUGACUUUCUCUCCCCUGGCACCAUGCACUCUGGAAGGGAUGUCUUUUCUGUUUCACUUCCAGUGGCUGCUCACCGCCCACCUGAUUGACUUCCUGAUCUUCUAGAGCCAUGUUGCCCCACAGGACUUUCUGCG
rnacentral:lncRNA from 1 species